rnacentral:tRNA from 1 species
GGAGGGGUGGCAGAGCGGUUGAAUGCGCCGGUCUUGAAAACCGGUAGGGGCCAUCUCGGUCCCUCGUGGGUUCGAAUCCCACCCCCUCCG